ensembl:snRNA U1 U1 spliceosomal RNA
AUGAUAACAAGGGGAGAUACCAUGAUCACAAAGGUGGUUUUCCCAGGGUGAGACUUAUCCAUUGCACUCUGACUGUCCCAAUCCCUGCAAUUUAGCCAAAUUUGGAAACUUGACUGCAUAAUUUGUGAUAGUGGGGGAAUGUGUUCAUGCUCUCUCCUG